rnacentral:rRNA from 1 species
CCUACGGGCUGCAGCAGUGGGGAAUAUUGGGCAAUGGGCGCAAGCCUGACCCAGCAACGCCGCGUGAAGGAAGAAGGCUUUCGGGUUGUAAACUUCUUUUCUGAGGGACGAAGAAAGUGACGGUACCUCAGGAAUAAGCCACGGCUAACUACGUGCCAGCAGCCGCGGUAAUCAGUAGGUGGCAAGAGUUAUCCGGAUUAAUUGGGUGUAAAGGGCGUGUAGGCAGGAAAGCAAGUCAGAUGUGAAAACUCAGGGCUCAACCCUGAGCCUGCAUUUGACACUGUUUGUCGUGAGUGCUGGAGAGGCAAUCGGAAUUCCGUGUGUAGCGGUGAAAUGCGUAGAUAUACGGAGGAACACCAGUGGCGAAGGCGGAUUGCUGGACAGUAACUGACGCUGAGGCGCGAAAGCGUGGGGAGCAAACAGGAUUAGAUACCCGUGUAGUC